AGACUGACUAAACGAUGCCUCCGUAAUAGCUGCUUCCCAUUUUUACGUUUCGUCUAAAAUAACCAACGCCAAUACUUACUGACCUACUCUACCUUUAAAGCCAUUUGAAUUAAACUCUUUUGGUUUGAUUAAUAAUCUGAAGUAAAAAUAAUAAUUGACAAGACGUUUUCCUUUAAAAAGAAAGUUACAAUCUGCUCGAAUCUAAGAUUAUUAGCGAAUUUGUAAAAGCGCAAAAUGGGCGGCGAUCUUGGUCUUGAAGCAUUUGGUAAUCUAGCCCAAAUUCGCGGCAUAUUGUAUUACAAAUUAUCGCCCAACGAGCAAAAACCUUUUGCAACCGCAUUUAGAUAUGGAAUUAUUAAUUUUAUACCAAGAACUACGGCAACAAUGUACACUUGGCUACCAAUUUUUUUAAUUGGAUGGUUAACACAGCGGACGCUGGAUGAAGUUCAUCGUAAAUCUAAAAGAAAAAAUGUGAGAGACUUCUUGAACGAAAAGGAGGAGCCGCGUUGUCCCGUUAUAUAAUUCAACGUAAACGUUUCCGUUACUAAUUAGAUUUUUAAAUCUUGUUUUAACACGUAGUGAAAAUUCUGUGUAAUUGAUAGACACAAUUUGGCUGAUUUUCGGUACUACCUGUUAGUGCUCCUACUUGAUAAUUAGAGACACCGUAUAGGUCUUUUUUUGUACUCUGUCCUAAAUUAUAGUCCUGAAAGAUAUAA